UGGGUUGUGGCUCAGUGGCAGAGUGCUUGCCUAGCACGCAUGAGGCACUGGGUUCAAUCCUCAGCAACACAU
rnacentral:tRNA from 1 species